AUUGAACGCUGGCGGCAGGCCUAACACAUGCAAGUCGAGCGGAGCGGCGGACGGGUGAGUAAUGCCUAGGAAUCUGCCUGGCAGUGGGGGAUAACGUCCGGAAACGGGCGCUAAUACCACAUACUACCAGCUGAGCCUAGGCCGGAUUAGUUAGUUGGUGGGGUAAAGGCCUACCAAGUCGACGCUCCGUAACUGGUCUGAGAGGAUGAUCAGUCACACUGGAACUGAGACACGGUCCAGACUCCUACGGGAGGCAGCAGUGGGGAAUAUUGGACAAUGGGCGAAAGCCUGAUCAAGCCAUGCCGCGUGUGUGAAGAAGGUAUUCGGAUUGUAAAGCACUUUAAGUUGAGAGGCGUUAUCAACAGAAUAAGCACCGGCUAACUUCGUGCCAGCAGCCGCGGUAAUAC
rnacentral:rRNA from 1 species